AGCAUUUGAGUUGAGAUGGUUGAUUUCGAAAACACUUCAUAUUUAGCAAUGAAACCUGCUAAAUCCACCGGAAAGUCUCCCCCACCCUCAAACGAGACUGAUUAACGAAGAAGCAUCAGAAGAAAGCGACGACGUUUUGGAACUCAGGAGGAAAGUUGGGUUAUGCUCUCUUUCACAGGCACAUAAGGGUUUUGCUGACACGUGGCUACAUAAGAAAACUCUUUGUUAUCGGCUUGUGUGUAUCCAACCCUUUCGUUUUGAUUUUUCUCGCCUCUGCGAAACUUAAACGUCGUCCUUUACAAAUCAAAGGCAUCACCCACUUCUUCCAUUAAUUAAUUAUAUAUUUUCCUUCGAUUUAGAGAUAGAACUGUUUUUAGAAAAGCUAUACGAGUGGUUAAUUAAGGGAUUCGGUUUUUACGAUCCCGAAUAAUCUGAGAACUACGAUGGCGACUAACCCGGAGGAAGUAGUAUUGGUGAUGAAGCUAGCUUGCAGCAAUGAAGUAGCGGACAAAGAUGAUUGCUAACAUGAGAGGCAAGGACAUGGAAAAGGAUACGUCAACUUUAAGUCAAUACAGAUGAUGAUCCAAUGGAUUUUGGGUUUGACUCACCAGCAAAUAAAGAUAAGAAAAGAAUUUGUUCAAGCUAUUACUUCUCUAAGAUACAGUUGCUUGACAAAAAGGCCUAAUGUCUCAUACCAAACAUUUGACUAACCGCCCCUAAUCAAUCAGGUUUCAUCUAUUUCUCUCUCCCUCUCUCUAUUAUGUAUCUUCCCUCACUAUUUCUAACCAGUUUUAUGAUACCUUCAUUGGAGCUGACUGGUAGAUGUGUAGUUGCGGAGUUGCAGAAAGUGGGUAAAGUUUUUCGAAUUGUAUAUCGAAUUGAUUUGCUUUAAUUUGAGUUGUUAGAUGUGACCACGAGGAGGCAAAUUCAGCAGACAAGUGUUUGUCAGGGUAUUUGGAACCAAAAGUUACAUGCAUUUCUUUCACGAUACUCAGGAUAGUGACUUGAAAAUGCUUCAGAAGGUUAGUUUGAUGAGCUGUUUUUAAUUAUUCGGAGGAUAUGAUAUAGAUAUAUUCGGUGAGGGUUUGAGGAGUCUAAAUUUAUGAGUUUCGUAUGAAUGUGAAAAAUAUAAUCGAGCUUUGAUUUUAAUGAGACUGUUGAGUUUAUAUACUAUCAGUGUUGGUUGUUAUUGUGGAGUUUCUAAUAUAUCACUUCUUUUGUAAAUUGAAACUUGAUACCCCAGAAAACAGAGGUGUUAUUCUUCUUCUUGAAGGUAAGAACAUAAUCUAAACUGAAGAGAAGUAUCACAAGAGCAAGGGUUGCAAGAUAAGCCAUUCUUUCGCUUCUUUUAAGAGAAACUAUGUCGUCUGAAAAUGACAAAAACAUCUACCAAAUCCUCUUUAGUUUGCUCUGACUCUCCAUCGACAAUAUAUGAACUCAUGUUGUCUCUCAGUUCUGACUCAUGUCUAACUCCCCCACCAUAAAUUCUUACACAACAAUAGACAAGAAUAGCUCAAACUUUAUCUGAUCACCGGACAUACAGGUUUGAUUAAUGGACUACGCCCUACAUACUACGGCUUCACAUCACGAGGCUCUGCAAUAGUUCCAAGUUUAUGAAGACAGCUUCAAACUCCCCAUUGAGAUCUCAAAAAUAUUCAUGCACUCCAAACAGAGUGAGAACUAAGUGAAUAUACAAUUUAUAGCAAACGUCAUCCCCAGUCCAGUACCAACCAACGAUUCUGAUUCUCCACAAAUACUCACCGACAUCUUCCAAAACAGAGCUAAAUAUAAACAAGAAGAUCUUAAUCAGCAUCAAAUUUUGGGCGAUCCAAUGGGCGAAAGGUAUGAGAGAAUAGAGAUAUCACAUCUUUGAUCACGGCCGUAGAGAAAGA